rnacentral:rRNA from 1 species
GAUGAACGCUGGCGGCGUGCCUAAUACAUGCAAGUCGAGCGAACAGACGAGGAGCUUGCUCCUCUGACGUUAGCGGCGGACGGGUGAGUAACACGUGGAUAACCUACCUAUAAGACUGGGAUAACUUCGGGAAACCGGAGCUAAUACCGGAUAAUAUAUUGAACCGCAUGGUUCAAUAGUGAAAGACGGUUUUGCGGUCACUUAUAGAUGGAUCCGCGCCGCAUUAGCUAGUUGGUAAGGUAACGGCUUACCAAGGCAACGAUGCGUAGCCGACCUGAGAGGGUGAUCGGCCACACUGGAACUGAGACACGGUCCAGACUCCUACGGGAGGCAGCAGUAGGGAAUCUGCCGCAAUGGGCGAAAGCCUGACGGAGCAACGCCGCGUGAGUGAUGAAGGUCUUCGGAUCGUAAAACUCUGUUAUUAGUGAAGAACAAAUGUGUAAGUAACUAUGCACGUCUUGACGGUACCUAAUCAGAAAGCCACGGCUAACUACGUG